CUUGUGAGGCAGGAGGGCCUCCACUGAGCUAAAUCCCCAGCCCUUUAAAAUAUAUUCUUAAUAAUGAUAUAAUGAAUGUUUUGUGUAGCUAAAUCUUUUUGUACAUUGAUGAUUUUUUUGAACAUGCUUUUCUGUAAACAAAAUGGCCAAAUCAAAAGGGAAAUGAAUUAAAAAAAAUUUUUUUUUGAGACCAGGUCUGUCUACAUAGCCCAGACUGGUCUUGAACUCACAGUGAGCUUCCUACCUCAGCCUCCCAAGAGUGCUAGGGUUAUAGACAUGCACUGCCAUGCCUGGCUCAAAAUUGGCAAACUUCAUUGUAAUGUGUGAGAAUUCCCAUUUCCUCAUGACCCCAUCUGUGCUAUGUCACCAUUCUUUCUCAUCUUUCAUUCUGAGGAAAGAAUUUCAUCUCUUGGUUAUUUUCACUUAUAUCUUUGAUUAACAAUGAUUUGUAUUUUUUUUUUGUAAAUUGCCCUCUUUUCCAUUAGAGUGUGUAGCUUUCUCUUAUUGAAUAGUAAGAGCUACUUCCAUAUUAGAUAAAAUAACCCUUUAUGUUAUAAGUUGCAAGUUAUUCUUUCUAUUUGCUAUUUGUCUUCUAUUUAUAAAUUUCUGUGUGUGCAUGUGAAUCUGGAUUGAGGAGCCAUUGUUGUCUUGUAAUUAUGUCUAUCAGUCUGUUCAGACUGUGAAAUGUUCACAGUCUCUUCUGAUGCUUUCAACCCUCUUCAAGCCUCUUGUUCUAAGCAUGGCAGUCUGGGCAUCAGAGAGAGAGAGAGAGAGAGAGAGAGAGAGAGAGAUGUGGUAUCAUUUUUGCUUCUAAAUCUCUCAGAAGGGCUUAGUCACUUUCCAAAUUCACAGAUAAGUUGCUGCAAGUGAGAGCUGGUGCUGUGCAUUCUUUUCCUCCACCACAAAGCACACAUGCCUUCGUUCAUGGAUGGCCCUCGCGGAAGUUGGGAGGGACUAGUUUGUUUAGAUGUUUGGCAGGGUGAAUCAUAUUGUCCCAUUGGUGUGCUAUAAUUGCACUGAUGUGUUCUCAAAAAACUGUGGCACCAACCCAAGAUUCUAAUACAUAGUCAAGAAAAUGCCACAGCCUGUUGCUGUUUCCCAGUGAUGGCAGCUUUCCAUGGAGCAGUGCUACCUGGAGAGGGGCCAUGCCAGGCAAGCCACCUCCAAGGCCAGCUGGAAAGGGCCGUCAUGGGCGACCUUGUGUCUGGUCUCUGGUGCUGGCAUGCUCAGUUGAACCACCUGUGAGCUUUCCAGACUGCUUCUUUGUCUGUAAGUCUCUAUCCUUAGGCUCUACUGUGCCUGCUUAACCCUCUCUGUUUACACCAGGGCCAAAGGAGGAAGAGAACCCUCUCCACUUAGAGAUCUCAAGACAGUCCCUAGGUUGUCACUAUCUGCUGUCCUCCCUUCUAUCAGAGUCCUUGUGUGUGUGGGGGGGUCUCUGGAGACCAUGAAGAGUGGAGUGUGAGAUGGGUGAGGGCCCAGUGCUGAGCAGUGGGGACUGGGAGUCCAGCCUGGGUGCAGUCUGAGGGUGCCAGACCCCACUGCUGACUGAUUCUUACAAGGUAGGGGGCUGGGGAUGGACCAAGGUCCUUCUCUCCCCCAGGAACUGUUGAAGAGUAACAAGUGUAACAACGAGAACAACCUGCUCCCAUCAGUAUGGCACCAGGGGCAUCUCACAGAGUCACAAAUGGCAUCUGUGGGAGGCCGAUGGUGGCCCCUAAAGAUAUCCGGUCCUAAUCUGUGAAACCCAUGGAUGUUACAUUACACGGUGAAGACUUUUCAAAGAAGAGAAGAUGGAAAGAUGGAGCACAGAAAGAUUGGAAGGUGCUGAAAGUAAAGAGUCCUUAAACAUGGGAACAAUCCAGCCAUAAGCCACAGCACUGAGGUUACCAAAGCUGAAGAGGCCAGGAGUAUGUUCUCCCUGGAGCUGCUGGGACAGGAGGGGCCUUGAUUCAGGCUCAGUGAAGCGGAGGUGGAACUUCUCACCUCCAGAAGUGUCAGAGAAUAAAUUUGUGUUGCUCUAAGCAAAGUUGUGGUCGCUUAUUACAGUAGCCCCAGGCCAUACUUGUGGGUAAAAUGAAAGCCUGAGUCUAGAAGACAGUUGAGGUAAGUAGAGUCACAGAUACCUGAGCAACUUGAUUUCUCCAUUCACUUGGGAAAUGUCUGUUGAGCUCCAGGCACAGGAGGUAAGAGUAAAGCAGACACUGUCCCUACUAACACUACAGUGCGAAGCAGCAGGUAAGUAAAAAAUAUAAAGAAGUGAUUUUAGUUAUAGAUAAGUGCUUUCAAGAGAAUAAAAUAAGGCAAUGUGGAGUUGGUGGGAAUAGAAAGGCCUUUAUGUUACCAUAUUAUGAGAGCUGAAUCCAAAUAUCAAGAAGGAAUUACCAUCUAGAGAAGGAGCUUUCCAAGGGGAGGGAGCUGCUAGUGCAAAGGCCCUGGGGUGGGAAUGAAUGUGCCUGAGAAACAAGCAGAAGGACUAGUGUGAUGGUUCAUUUUGAUUGUCAACCUGAUUGAAUGGAGAACUGCCUAGGAAAUUAAUAAAGCACAGUCCGGUGUGUCUGUGAGAUGUUUCCAGAGACCUUUGGCAUGUGGGACAGUAAACUGAGCCGGGGUGGGGGGGGGCCUGUGUAGCACCAUCCAACAGGCUGGGGAACCAGGUGGAACAAAAGGGGAAAAAGAUGGAGGUACACCAGCACAGUCACUCGUGUUCUCUCUCUCUCUCUCUCUCUCUCUCUCUCUCUCUGUCUCUUUUUCCUGGCUGCUGUGAGGUGAGCAGCUUUCCUCCACCAGACCCUUCGACCAUGAUGUCCCUGCUAACAAUGGGGCCAGAUGAACAGUGACCUUUGACCACAAGUCAAAAUUAACCUUUCCUCCUUUAAGUGGUUUGUCUCAGGUAUUUUGUCACAGCAACAGAAAGCUGACUAACACAACCAGAUUUCUCCAAAUCCAUGUAGAAAGAAAGUGCCCAUGGAAGGCUCAGGGGUCUGUCUUGGGCCCUCUGCUGUAACUAAAUUGGACAUAAAUAAGAUAUCUUAUUUACCAUAAAGUAAACAUAAAGCUUCUGGUUAAGACUUGUACAAUAUUUGGUUAGAGUCAGGGGUUAGGUUUUAAAAUACCUUAACAGAUUUGCACAGAACUCCCCAAAUGAGAUUCAACUGGGACAAACUGUGACUUAGGAUUCAACCAAAUGAUUUCCCUAAGUCAGAAAGGGACCCCUCCUUGAAUGUGGUACUUGGGCAGACCUAGAGCUCAACAUCAGCAAAAAUCUGAUAAGGCUCAAAAAUGGUGAAGCACUUUUACAAACAUUGUAACAUUUGGGGUACAAUUCAAGGUUGGGGAGAAGUAGCCAGGAGAUUGUUUCCGAAGUACUGAGUGGGCACCAGAUUGUAUGUGACCAUAGGAACAAUUCAUUUGUUCACUUGCCCGCUCAAUAAAUGUUUAAUGAGCAGCCCUGCCACUGACUGGGCUUAGGGAGAUGACAGCAACCGGGGUGGAAACACUUGCUGACCUCAUAGAGCUUCUUCUGGAUAGACAUGGCAGACUUAAUUGGGUAAUUAUUGUCUUUUUUACUGUAUUCGAUUUUUUCAGAUGAUAAAAUUAUUUUAUAGUAAUAAAACAGCAAAAUCAAAUACUAUGGAAAUAGAUAACAUAGAAAAGAAAAAUGCUCUAGCAACCCAUUCCCCUGACUAUCCUGCAUGAAUACAAAGAAAUCUACUUCAUUCCUUUUAAAAGCUGAAUAAUAUUCCAUGCUAUGAAUGUGCUGCAGUUUAACUAGUCUCUUACUGAUACAUAUGGAUAUUACUUCCAGUUUUCACAAUUAUAAACUAUGUUGCAAAAAAAUUAUUCUACAUAUAUUUUUUACAUAGCUUAUGAGUAUGUAAAGGACCAAAGAGUAUGAAUAAGUUAAAUCAAGAUACUACCAUACCUCUUACCAUUCGGGGUGGACCUGAAUGAGAGUAUACAGGAAAGAGCAUGUUCCCUUGUAGCCUCAGCAGUGCUGGAUGUUAUCAAUAAUUUUAAUGUUUGCCUGUCUGAUAGGCAGCAGACCGUAAUAUCUUGCCAUUGUUUAAAUGAACCCUUUGGACCUACAGUGGAGAUAACAAUUAAGCAGGGAUGGGCAGGGAAUUGCACAGAGACCUCGUUAAUGAGGCUGGAGCUGCCAAGCUAUCAAGUUGCUCUGCAGGUGCAGGCAGGGUGACCAGGCAGUGCCUGAGCUUCCAGGCAGUGCCUGAGCCCUCCUUUCCAGAAGCCUGAUAAAUGCCCCAGCAGAGAGUAAGGGAGAGGGAAGCGGGAGGCGGGGCCAAACCUCACAGGGCCCGUGGUUCACCUUACCGGGUUUGGUUUUUAUUCCAGGAGAAGAGAGGAGCCAGGAGAAGAGAGGAGCCAGUGGAAGGUUCACACUGUGUUGCAUGGGCAGGCUGACACUUUGCACAGACUCCUCUGGCUGCCGUGCAGGGAGCGGACUGGGGAGAGCAGAGAGAGGGGCAGAUGGGAGCACGUGGGAGCUAUGUUGGGAGUCCAGGGAGGAGUGGUGGUGUCCGGGACUGGGUGGGAGGCCAGGGCUGGCAUGGAAUAGACAGACUGAAGAGUUAUUCAGGCCACAGACUGAUAGGAGGGGCUUGGGUGGGGAGUGAGGAACAGUGGCCAACUGGAUGGCAGAUGGAAUGGGAAUGGGUAUGAGACAGAUGUCAGAAGAGCAGGCGAUGGUUUUCCUGGACAGUGGAGCCCAGAGGAGAGCCCUGCUCCAGAGCAGCCGCCCAGCUCCUGGCCACAAUGCCCACGGCCCACUCAAGGCAGGCUGCCAGGGAUUCACAGCCUGACCACAGUGACCGCACUGAGAGAGCAGCUGAGCCGUGGCCAUGACGGAGUCUGCUGUGAAAGCCUGCCUGGGAAGGGAACAGUGCCGCUGGGGCUGAGGAGACCUCUUGCGUGGAGUUUGAAGGAGAGCACAAGCCCUGCCCAGAACUUGCCUUUUCUCCAUCAGGUCCUGCCAGAGCUCACAUGGGAGCUAUGAUGACUUGAAGGUGUCCUGUCAACUAUGUCUCAGGCAUCAGCUGACUCAGUGGCAUGAGCAUCUUGGAUCCCGACAGAUGACACUGUAGUUGUUAGGAACCACGGAGGAGGCUGCCCAGGGCCAGCGGCCACCCUGACCUGGAAGUGCUUUGUCUGCAGUGUGGGAAGUUGUGAUCUCAGGGUCUUUCUGAAAAGAAACUUCAGAUUUAAGGGAAGAGUAAUGGAAGUCAAAAAAUGGAAACAACCCACAUGCCCAUGGACUGAUGAAUGGGUUAAAAAAUUAUGCUAUAUUCACACAAUGGAAUAUUAUUCAGCCAUAAAAAGGGAUGGAAUCUGAUACACCUAUAAUGAAUGAACCUUGGAUGAACCUUGAAAACCUUAUGCUACAUGUAAGAAGCCACAGUAUGUGAAUCUGGUAUGAUUUGUCCAGAAUAGGCAAAUUUAAAGACAGACAAGCAGAUUAAUGGUUGCCAGGAACUGGGGGCAGGAGAGGAAUGCAGAAUGACUGAUUUGGGGGUUUUCCUUUUGGAAUGAUAAACACAUUCUAGAACUAGAUAUUGGUGAUGGUUGCAGAAUAGUGUGAAUGUACUUUGUACUGCUGAAUUGUGUACUUUAAAGUGGCUAAACCAGUCAAUUUUAUGUGAAUUUUACCACAAUAAAAAAGUGGAAAAUGUGA